rnacentral:rRNA from 1 species
UGGGGAAUAUUGCACAAUGGGCGCAAGCCUGAUGCAGCCAUGCCGCGUGUAUGAAGAAGGCCUUCGGGUUGUAAAGUACUUUCAGCGGGGAGGAAGGGAGUAAAGUUAAUACCUUUGCUCAUUGACGUUACCCGCAGAAGAAGCACCGGCUAACUCCGUGCCAGCAGCCGCGGUAAUACGGAGGGUGCAAGCGUUAAUCGGAAUUACUGGGCGUAAAGCGCACGCAGGCUGCUUGUUAAGUCCGAUGUGAAAUCCCCGGGCUCAACCUGGGAACUGCAUCUGAUACUGGCAAGCUUGAGUCUCGUAGAGGGGGGUAGAAUUCCAGGUGUAGCGGUGAAAUGCGUAGAGAUCUGGAGGAAUACCGGUGGCGAAGGCGGCCCCCUGGACGAAGACUGACGCUCAGGUGCGAAAGCGUGGGGAGCAAACA